UGAAAAAAAUAAAGAAACCGGGAAAAAAGGAAAGAAGCGAAGUGUUACUUCAUUGCGAGACGACGAUCAUUCGCCCUGUCAAAAUUCGUUCAUCGCGAUCUCGGAUUACAGGAAGCGGUGAUCCAUUUAUUUUGGCGGUUCACAAACGUUUUUAGUGGUAAGAAGUGGGAGUGCGUCGCGACGCCUCGCGUAUUUAUUUCUGUAACACAGUGCUUGCCAUGAUCGUCGCCUGCGUUAUUCUACGUUACUAUAUAGAUGUGCAUUGCUAUGUAAAAUCUACGAAAUUCAUAAAAAUUUCCUAUUCGUAAAAAUAAACUAUGGAAUACCGUUGAAUGUAGGAUAUUAGAUGUAACAUUUAAAUUUAAACGAGACGACCGAAUUUCGUAGAUUACAUUAGCUAAAAAAUAGAUCGGACAAAGAUCUCGUGAUUAUUUGAAAAUUCAACAAAUCGAUCGAUUAUUUCGAGAAAUAGAGAGAAGCGAGUUGAAACGAUACUAAACUAUCCUACUUGGCAGUAUUUGCCGUAGUUAAAAUGCGUGGUAAAAUUCUGAUCGCCUCGGAAUAAGUCGUAAAGUUAUUAUUUUUAACCACCGAAGACUGUCCAGCCGGUAGUCGUAGAAUUCAAUGGUGAACAUCGUUGCUGCGUAGAUUCAGACUUCUUGGGAGAAGAGAUGAAGUUCUUGUAAAAAAGGGUGGAACGCGAUCGGAAAGUCUAGCAUGGUUGCAUGCUAAGAUGAUUUCCACGGUUUUAUUGCGGGUAGGUCAGGCCAGAUUGGAGAAUUGCCCGCCAAAAUAGACUGUUCAAACCGUUCCGGCCUAAAUGUGUCAUCUAUAAAUACGAGAGCUCGGUUGGUACAAGAGAAAGAGAGAAAGAGAGAGAAAGACAGAGAAGACUUGGUACGCAUCGAUACACUUGCAGAGAAAUUAUCCGAGUAUAAUUCGCACAUAUUCUGUUCGAAGCACGGAGAGACAACGAUCAUCGAAAAGAUAUCUUUUUAAAUGUUGGGAAAAUGUCGUCAGAAUUGAACUAAAAUCGACGAUUUUACGAAUCUCGAGAACAGAUCUUACCAAAAAUACCGCGUCCUUCGGAGUCAUGAAAAAAAUCUACGAACAUGUAGUUUCCUCGGGAAGCUCUUGAAAGAUAAUCUAUAUGUACAAAUACACAUAGGUAUCUUCUUUCCAUGCGAACUCUCCAUGUAGACCUUAGAUAAGCUUAGGCUUUUAGAAUUAGAAAAUCGGACGUGCUUCUUCGAACUCGUAACCUUCAAAAACGAACGUCCAACGUGAUGCGAUAUAGAUUCGAAAUAUAAUUUUAACCGCAGAUUGUCUUACGGCGCAAUCUUUGGCUAAGACGAUCGUUCGUCGUUUCAGUUCCGAUUCGUGCUGUCGAUCGUACAGAAAUUUGUUUCUCUUUCUCCUUGUCUCUUUUUUUUUCUUCGUUUCUUUCUCUUCAAAAAGAAAGAAAGAAAAAAAAAUGUAUAGUCUAUAGAGUGUCUAAAAAAAAUAAUCAGCG